UGUAGGUAGUCAUCUCGAAUGUAGAAUUUGUGUCGUAGCUAAUAAUAUAGUGCAGCAGAUUCGUUUGUCUUCAAAAUUGAUAGCUUUUUUCAUUGUUGGCACCUAUUCUUGCUCGUUUCAUGGGAAUAUCGAGAAAUAAAAAAGCAUAAAAUUCGGGAUAAAAUUAAUUAAAUAAAUUUUUCGUACUCGUUGAUCGGUUGCUAGGUCGGUUGUUAGGGGAGGCGAGUACGAGGGACGCGCGCGAUCCGCAUUUCUUCGAAAGUCUAGAGACGCGAAGGACGCCAGUUAGCAACGACGUAGCUCCUGCAUAAUUCAGUUUUAUUGUUGAAAUAUUUUGUGUUGGACGCCGAAUUAUUGCAUCAAAGUACUUCGACAACUGUUAUCGUUACAUUAGAAGAAGCAGGGAGCAGUUGACGACCACUGACUAACAGCGGUCAAGCUACAAAUAGGUGGGCUACUGUGGAUGAAUUUUUGCGGUACAAUCCUGGAGAAGUGGAUCCAACGCUCCAGUGUGUUUCUCAAAGUGAUUCUGUGCGGUGCGGUGAAAUGUGAGUGGACUCGAGUAGUGCGUUAAAAUUACAAAGACACCAGUGGUGCAGUGUGAUGUGCAAAGACUCAAACAGUGAGGACAUUUUCAUGAACAGUGAGGCAGCAGGCAUGCAGAGGAUGGGUCUCCAGUAUGCAGUGAAUCCAGAAGAAGAAAUUCAACUUCGGCAGAGUUGGCAAGUCGCAUGCUUUAAAUUUGCUGUCUAACUUUCCUCAAUCUUUUCUAUCGCGUGGCAUGGCGGUACCAAUGUUUAUUUUUGUGUAACCUGUUGCAUAACUUAGAUUGCCUAUUCAAGUUCUUAAUUGGAUUCAUUAAUUUGCUUGUUCUUCAUUCAACAUAUUUGAGUAAUUGCUUUCAUUUGACUAAAACAAGAGUUAACGUAGUCGACAUGUCAUCUUGAGACAUGCAGCUUAAUUCUGCAAAAGAUUAUAAGAUAUUCAGAUACUAUAUUAAUGUUUUUACAAUCAACUCAAAGCUUGCAAACUUUGGAUAGGAUGUACUAACCCGUUCCUUCCCUACAGUGAAACUCAUCAUAGUAAGUCCUGACCACGUUGUAUGAUUGAUCGAGUAAGUGUGUUGGUGAGAAUGUGUAUCGAAAUUAAAUAUGGGUGAAUAGGUAGGAAAGGGUAGACCGGGUGUUGUGUGUGAGUCAAGCGAUUUGUGUGCUUUUAAUUUAUAAAAACCCCGAGUUGAGACUGGGGAGUUGGGAACGUCAGGCUCAACUUUGGGGUUCGAUUAGAUCCGUCCGUUUUAUUGGGGGGUAAAUAGGCGUAAUGGUAGGCAGGACUCGUGCUCGGUUAGGCAGGUAGUUUGUAAGCGCGUGCGCUCAUUCGUUCCACAGCGUCUCACAAUUGCAACUAUUUGGCAUUAAUUAUUUUUA